CUCCCCAAGCUCACUGCUCUACCCUAUUAUGUGGGCUAAGAAAAACCAUAUAUGAGUCAUAAAUGGCAACUUCCUUUCGGGAUCCUGAAACCCUGUAAGUUCAUCCUGAUUGAAAGCUCAGCCCUGUGAGCAUCUGGAGGCUGGUGUUCCAACAGGCCAGAUCUGUUGCCACAGUAGCUGCACAACAAUCUUUAAAAAUAGAUCACCUUUGACAGCAGAGCAGGUUUCCCUGUCAGCCCAGUACAGAUUCUCUGGGGCUUUUAAUAGCUAUGUUUGGAUGAAGAUUCACUGUAUUUGAAAGUAAAAGAUUAGAAGAAAGUCGAACAGGGAUAGAAACCAAAGGACUCUGGUGAAGCUAACAGAGUGGCACAACUAUAGACAAUGGAUGAAGCCACAAGGGCUCUGCGAAAGAUACUCACAGAUGGCCUCCUCCAGGAGACGCGUGGCCUAGGAAGUGCGGGCAGUAGAGAAAGAAACAGGAAGUAAACAUGAAGUCACACAAUGCACCAAGAUGAGAAAACUAAGGUUGCUGAAUGGAUGACUUCCCCAAGAUAUCUCACAGCUAAUAAAAGAUGGAGAUAAGACUCUGACCUUGCUACUCUGACUUCAAAUUUGAUUUUUCUACCAUGUAAUGAACCCUGCCACUCCUCCGGCCCUGUCCCAGGUGGCAGACAUCACUAAUUGAUGCCAGCACAGUCCUCAGCGCACCCUGAUUCAUUCAGCCUCCAGGAGUAAUGACUAAUCCAUGGAAGCUGGUCUAGAAGAUAAAACCAUACUACUAGAAUCUUCUAGUCCAGACCAAGCAGUGAGACAGAAAAGCAUAGAGACUUACUCCUCUGAUGACCACUGGAAUGCCUUUCUAAGAUGGCAAUCAGUGUAGCCUCUAUACUGUCACCACAUUUGUCAUUUGUUAAAAUCAACUGAGUUACUAGCUGUAGACUUUUUAUGAUAGGGGCCACUCCAAAUCAAGAUUGCUGGGUUUUAUUGCUGUGUUAGAACAACCAGAAUUUUGUAUUCAUAAAUGCUAAGAAUAUCCUUUGCUUUGAAACUACUUUUCUUAUUAUAGGAUACACAUAAAUUAAGUGAUUUCAGUGGCCCCCAAAUUAGUCUUGUUCUUCGA